UACGGGGGGGGUAAGGGUUGUUCGGAAUUACUGGGCGUAAAGGGCUCGUAGGCGGCCAACUAAGUCAUACGUGAAAUCCCUCAGCUUAACUGGGGAACUGCGUGUGAUACUGGAUGGCUUGGAUUUGGGAGAGGGAUGCGGAAUUCCAGGUGUAGCGGUGAAAUGCGUAGAUAUCUGGAGGAACACCGGUGGCGAAGGCGGCAUCCUGGACCAAUAUUGACGCUGAGGAGCGAAAGCCAGGGGAGCAAACGGG
rnacentral:rRNA from 1 species